GAUGAACGCUAGCUACAGGCUUAACACAUGCAAGUCGAGGGGAAACGAUAUUGGAAGCUUGCUUCUGAUAGGCGUCGACCGGCGCACGGGUGAGUAACGCGUAUCCAACCUGCCCAUCACUUGGGGAUAACCUUGCGAAAGUAAGACUAAUACCCAAUGACGUCUCUAGAAGACAUCUGAAAGAGAUUAAAGAUUUAUCGGUGAUGGAUGGGGAUGCGUCUGAUUAGCUCGUUGGCGGGGUAACGGCCCACCAAGGCGACGAUCAGUAGGGGUUCUGAGAGGAAGGUCCCCCACAUUGGAACUGAGACACGGUCCAAACUCCCUACGGGAGGCAGCAGUGAGGAAUAUUGGUCAAUGGGCGAGAGCCUGACCAGCCAAGUAGCGUGCAGGAUGACGGCCCUAUGGGUUGUAAACUGCUUUUAUAAGGGAAUAAAGUGAGUCUCGUGAGACUUUUUGCAUGUACCUUAUGAAUAAGGACCGGCUAAGUUCCGUGCCAGCAG
rnacentral:rRNA from 1 species